rnacentral:lncRNA from 7 species
GGAGAGAAGCAAGAGGUUAGUGCUAAAGGAUGGCUGCAGGCUAGAAACAGAGCUAGAGAGUAUGGAGCAGUGGGCUAUCAACUCCAUUAAACUGCUGUCUUUAGGAAAGUAAUUCUUAGCAUUCUGAUUCCUUAAUCUGUUAAACCAACUCUGUUAUCAAGGAAGAAAAAUAUAUAUCAACUUCUUUUUUCUUGUGUUUGUUUUGGCUCCCGCACUUCCAUGCCAGUGCCUGUCUCCUGUGGUAAACACUCUGCUCCUCCCUGCCCAGCAAUGCUCUUUGUUGCCACCUUUCAGCGGCUGCUGGCACUUGUGCUAGGAGUACUCGUGCUAAUGUAAUCCCACUCUAAACAAAGCAAGAGCAGCACUCUUGACACCCCUACCUAGUUUUUAAACAGACAAACUCCUACCCGCUCUGGGAACACGCAGGUCGGGAGCAGCAUCGUCCCAGGGGCGGCAGAAGGGAAACUCCUACACGCUCCCCAGGACUUCUUUGAAGACUUUAGGUUGAAUUUAAAGAUACAGUGAUGGACCCUGAGACAGUGCCACAACUUGCAGGAUCAGUUCCAAAUGAAGAGGCUCAACUGAGAAAAGAUUACACUUUAUUUUUACUGCAGUGCUUUGUUUUCAAGAAUUCUGUCACUGGAAUUUGUGAGAAUUAUCUCGAUCUGGAAAAGAUUCCCCCUUCCUUCAUUCAUACCUCGGGCACGUACUAACAAGACAAGGUCCACCAGAAGUUACUGCUUUAUAUGUCAUGAUGGAAGGCACUACAAUUGUGGCAUUAAAACAAGAAGCUGUAAUACAUCAUGAGAAAUGUGGAAGUCCCUAUGACAGGUGCAAAGCGAGAUGCAGGGGAAUGGCCUUUCCUGCCUUAGGAGUGACACAAGCACAGCAGCUUCUGCUGCUCAGCUUCCAUUCAUAGCCUAAGCAAAGACCUUGAUUUUAAAAGGGCCGAGACAGAGGCUUGAAGCUCACAGGCUGCUGAGACUGGGGAUGAAACUGUGAGCAUAACUCUGAGAAGACAACAGACCGCAAAUUCUUGUGCCUGGAGCUUGUUCUAAGGGAACAGGAAGUCACAGAAUGGAACUGCAUGUAACGUAUGUUUUCACCAGUCUAGUGAAAGAAGGACUUUUCAACAGAGACCAAUAACAAUUACUACCGACCUUGUAAAGGAAGCUGAAAAAGGGAGCUUGAAAAAGGAAGCACAAAGUCAACAUGAAGCUUGACAGCGGCAUUGCAACAUAUGUCUUAAAGGAGUCAGAUUCCUGAAUAACUUGCAGCCUAGAGCAUAACUUUUGAUACAUGAGGAGCACCCCAACACUAUGGUGAUGAGUAAUACAAAAAAAUCUUGUAAGAGCUGAAGUGGUCUUUUCAAAUAUGUCUGAAGACCUUGCUGAGAGCUCUCCUGCUUCUGAAAUGACAGUGAAGGAGUAGACUCUCCAGGAUAUCCAGUGAAGAAGGCAGGAAGAAUCAGAUCAUGGAGUGUUAGAAACUACAGUGUUUUUGAGGUACACACCAGCUUAACAUAGGCAGCAUCCAAUCAAGAUACUAAGCAUGUCCACUCUUGUGAACUUAAGCUGUAACUGCCUGAGAAGUGUUGCCAAGAUGAGAAACCUUAAAGGAAGAUUCCAGAUACAACUGCUGCAAGUUAACCUGCAGAGACGAACAGCUGGAAAAGGGCUCCUUCAUCUCACGUUAAGUUAUCUUGGAUUAACACAGAGAUAGCUGUUUCCUUGGCUGGUAGAAAUUUAGUUCUCAAGACAGAGAUGAACACAGUAGCUUAAUAUUUUCCCUUCUUCCAGUGCAUCUGAGUAAUUUAUCAGAACAGUAAGUUCUCUCAGAAAAGCCCGUAGCUUUAAUAGUUAAAUAAUUUAUAGCAUUCUUUCUCAUAAAUACAUGUGGGGUAUGCCCUCCUUUCUACAUUUAUAUCCAGUGGUAAUAUUUGGGAAAUAAUCUGAGAUCUGAAUACAUAGUCAAGAAAGGGAAGGAUGAAGACUACUCUUAAAAUGCUCUAAGAGAUUCUGAAAAGGACAAAUGACACCACCUGUUCUAGCCCCCUAACAGUCUUUUGUAAUUCUGCAAGCUUUGCCCAGAGAGGAUAUGGCUGCCUCUGGAAACAGAGAGAGAAUUUGCAGCAGGAGUAUGUGAUAGCAGCUUCCAUGGCCAAGAGAGCAUGUGUCAGGGGUGAUGGCCAGGACCUGGGCAGAGGAAGGAAGCACUGACAGCACAGCAGGUCCCCAAGAGUCUAGGAAGCCAUAGAGUCACAGAAGGAUUUUAGACUGGAAAGGACCCUAAAGAUUAUCUACUUCCAAGCCUCAUUGAUCUUCAUGAUUCACCCAGGGCAGGCAGUCAGGGAAGUCAAAUACUACUGGCUUGUUGCUAAUGCUCUGAGUGCCCCAGGUUUGGAAGUUACUCCAGCAGGGUUAUGCAUGCAGAAAGGCACAGCGAUCUGACUAUACUGCCUACCAGCUCAUGUUCAACACAUCUUAUGUUGAAUGAGCUGUAAAACAGAAAACCUUCAUGAAGGAAUAGAGCUGUCAAAAUUAACAAUUGAAAAUAGCACAUACUAAAGCACGUAAAACAGUGUUAUUCCACUGAGACAGUGUGACAGUGGGCAAGCUCUAUCUGUAAGGCAGGCUUUGGCAAUAAACUGUUAACUGUUCUAAUAC